rnacentral:hammerhead_ribozyme from 1 species
AUCUAGCUGACGAGUCCUGAAUAGGACAAAAUAUACGUCCUGGAU